rnacentral:rRNA from 1 species
GAUGAACGCUGGCGGCGUGCCUAAUACAUGCAAGUCGAGCGAACAGACGAGGAGCUUGCUCCUCUGACGUUAGCGGCGGACGGGUGAGUAACACGUGGAUAACCUACCUAUUAGACUGGGAUAACUUCGGGAAACCGGAGCUACUACCGGAUAAUAUAUUGAACCGCAUGGUUCACUAGUGAAAGACGGUUUUGCUGUAACUUAUAGAUGGAUCCGCGCCGCAUUAGCUAGUUGGUAAGGUAACGGCUUACCAAGGCGACGAUGCGUAGCCGACCUGAGAGGGUGAUCGGCCACACUGGAACUGAGACACGGUCCAGACUCCUACGGGAGGCAGCAGUAGGGAAUCUUCCGCAAUGGGCGAAAGCCUGACGGAGCAACGCCGCGUGAGUGAUGAAGGUCUUCGGAUCGUAAAACUCUGUUAUUAGGGAAGAACAAAUGUGUAAGUAACUAUGCACGUCUUGACGGUACCUAAUCAGAAAGCCACGGCUAACUACGUG